GUGACCAGUGGUCCUCCUUUCUGAAGGCUCUUGCUACAAAGGAAAGAUGAGGAUAUUCUAUUUCUUGAUCCCUCUCAGCUACUGGGAGCUGCUUUGUGCCUUGGAAGCCUCAAGCUGAAAUGGAUGUCAGCCUCAAGUUUAACUCCAAGAGGGUUCACCUUGUUUCUUUGAACAAAAUGUGCUGCCUGUUGCUUCCCUUUGCCAGGAGUGGUGUUCCCUUUUCCACAGGUCUGGACCACAGUGUCUCUAGCUCCCGCUCCUGGAUACUUGGUUACUGUGUGUUUCGGUAAAAAAGCAUCCACAACAUGAAUAUCCACUAAGCUGUAACAGGGCCUGCUGCAACUAUAGUAUUUCCUGAAAAAGUAUCAACUGCCACAAGGGCCACAAAUAAAGUCUGUGAACUUGAAAUAACCAUGGAGAAUGAAAUGUUCUGAUUCAGAUCAUCGGUGGGAUUUCACUGGGAAAUCUCCCACUGGGCAAGAGUAGAUGAUGGAGGAGGAGAAACAGUCACUAGAAAAAGGUGAUACUUUGUAUCAAGAAACAAUUAAAAAUUAGAUCACAUCCUGAAACAUUAAGCAUAUGCUCCUUUGUGAGGCUUGCCUGGCUGAACUUGAACUGGAUUGAGUGAAUAAUUUCUUAAAAACAAUCAAAAUCACAGAUUUAUUCUAUUUUAAAUACUUAUAUUUACUUAUAUUUCAUUCAGAAAUUAGUUAACAAAUAAUUUUUGAGUAUCCUGGGAACUGUUCUAAUCAUUAAACAUGCAAGUUUGAAGAAAGUAAGGAUGAAUCUGCCUGCGUGGGGCUCUCAAUCUAGCGAGAAGCAGAUAAGAAGACAAAUGUCAGGGAAGAUCACACAACCUUCAGGUAAUAUUUAAGCUGAGACCUCACUAGUUGCUAAGACUGGAUUUCAGAGGUCAGGUUUUUUUUUUUUUUUUAGUAGAGAUGGUGUUUCACCACAUUCGUCAGGCCGGUCUCAAACUCCUGACCUCAGGUGAUCCACCCGCCUCAGCCUCCGAAAACAUUUGGAUUACAGGCAUAAGCUACCGGGUCUGGCCACAACUUUCUAGUCUCAGUGUCAUCACAACCAGUUUCCAGCUUCUCUGACUUUUCUUAGCUACCCUGUUGUCCUAUCACUCCCUGCCUCUUCUCCAGGGUUCAACCUCUGGUCCACUUCCCUUCUCACACUUCAUAGGAAAAUACCACUCAAGAUCAUUGCCUCCCCUCUCACCACAACCUACAUCUCUAUCCAAAAACUCUUGAUAUUUUAGUUCAGACUGUUUUUAGCUAUUUUACUGCAGAGUUGGAAUUUAAGAGUCUGGAGCUUGCAAAUACAAACUUUCAUUGCACUUGAUUGCUGCCAAAAACAAAUUUGAAAGUGAUGUGAUGUGAAAAAGAAUGAAAUCAUGUCAUAGCCACAUGGAUGCAGCUGGUGGCUAUUAUCCUAAGUGAAAUAACUCACAAACAAAAUCCGAUACUGCAUGUUCUCAAUUAUAAGUGGAAGCUAAUCAAUGGGUACAUAUGCACAUAAAGAUGGAAAUAUUAGAUACUGGAGACUCCAAAAGGGAGGAGGAUGGAAGGAGGCCAGGGUUGAAAAACUACCUGUUGGAAGUUUUGGGGUACUAUGUUCACUAUUUGGGUGAUGAGUUCACUUGAAGCCCAAACAUCAGCAUUAUGCAAUAUACUCACGUAACAAACCUGCACAUGUACCCCAUGUAUUUAUAAUAAUAAAAAGUAAAUUAAAAUAUUUCUAUAUAAAAAUAAUUUAAAAAGAAAGUGAUGUGGUGGAAAGGGAUAGGAUUCCUUAUAAGCUAAUUAUAUAUAAAAUACUCUCCUGCUCUUUUUUAUUUAUAAUUCAAUCAUUCCCUAAUUAAUUUAUUCAUCUAAUCAUGAAACUUGUUUAGUCACCUACUUGGGGGCAGGUACUGAGGACGUGAUGACAAAUAAGGAAAUCUUUACCCUUUAGAACUCAUCAUGUAAUGAUCCAUACUGGUCACUUUGAGAUUCUGGAAAAAAAAACCAAAAACCUUUCUCCCACUCUAAUAGAUGAGUCACAUAAUGGGAAAACAAACAAAUGUAUCAUCUAUUAAAGUGGGAGAACUUGGUUUUGUAGUUUUAAAAGUAUUGUCAUAGAACCAACGAUACUGCUUGCAUCUAUACACCAUGAUUAGAGAGGAAGUGGAUGGAGAGUGUGUGUGUCUGAGAGAGAGAAUAUUUAGAAUGCCAAAAGCGGGCACUUCAAGGAAGGCUUUUUUUAUUUAAAAAAAAUUAGCUCAUUCUACAUACUUUAGAAAUUACCUUUGAGUAGCAAAUGUUAAGGAUAUAAAUACUUUGCACGUAUAUUCCUUGUUUAUAGUUAACCAUAUGUUAUUUUUUACCUGCAAAAUACUAAAACAUAUUCUACCUACGUGCAAUCUAAGUUUUGUAGCAGAGUCUUUUUACGGGGGCCAAACAAUUCUGGACUAAUUUUUAAAACCCUGAAAUGGCUCACUGUUUUGAGGUUAUUUUGAUGGAGUAUGAAUUUACUUCUUUGUCAUUUGGAGAAGGUGCACAGUAUUAUUAUGAACAGAGAAGAGCUGUAUGAAAACUGAUCUUCCAGCAUCUAUCAUCUCCUUUUAGUCUAAUGAGAUACUGCCAUUAUCUCCUGAUGAAAUAUUGUUCUAGAAAACCUUACCCCAUCAUACGAUUUCUGCAGAUCUUACAGGAGCAAUCUGAGCUCAAGCAAUAUUAAUUACUGUUUCAUUUGUCCAUUUGUC
rnacentral:lncRNA from 1 species